UCCCUGAUGGUCUAGUGGUAAGGAUUCGGCGCUUUCAUCGCCGUGGCCCGGGUUCGAUUCCCGGUCAGGGAA
rnacentral:tRNA from 1 species